GUGAAAGUUAUGUGGCCAAUAUAUUCGAGUUCGGGACCAAACCCCACAACCAACAGCAAAUAUGUCCUCCCGGGACGACUUCCAAGCAGUGAAGGUGAAGCACAAAACGAUUCAGGAACGGCUGAAAAAGGGCUAGAAGGAAUGCCAAGAUUCGACGCUUUGCGAGGGAAUCAGUCCGGGUCCCAGUGUUGUAGGUGGUCUCAUCCAGAUGGAAGCCGGUUCCAGUGAUCUCGUAGAUGACGAGAGCAAGGUGCUGCUGGUGACAAUUAAUCGAGAACAAGCUGACAUCAACUAUGAAAUCUAUAAAACCCUGGUUCGGGUUCUGUCGGAUCUGACUUCUAUAUUGCCCACCAACUCGUCUCAGAUUGCACUAUUGCACCUUGCUAACAAUAACAUUUACAAAACUCCGUCCGUUUCGAUUGGGUUCUUCACCAAGUGACAACGUAGUGAAAACAUCACCAGCAGCAGUCGACAAUGUGUGCCGAUCGCCAAAACAAUUAUUCCAGCAAAAGUUACCAAUCAUCAGUUGAAACCAUUCCGGUUGAAAUCUCCUGCAUCUAAUUGGUUGGAAGACGGUGAAUCUACAUAAAUAUGUUCCUUGCUAAGGAACAUAUUUCAUCCACCUGCGAAAAGUGAAGGAGUUUCCGGACAGAAUCCAAUAUAGCAAGUUUUGCAAGGAAAAGACCAAAGCACAAUUAACAAGAUAAACCAUGGUUGAGGAUAAUAUUCUUACACACUAAGGAAUUCCGGUGGAAUAAAUGUUCAUGUAACAAGGCCGA